GACGAACACUGGCGGCGUGCUUAACACAUGCAAGUCGAACGGAAAGGCCCUGCUUUUGUGGGGUGCUCGAGUGGCGAACGGGUGAGUAACACGUGAGUAACCUGCCCUUGACUUUGGGAUGACUUCAGGAAACUGGGGCUAAUACCGGAUAGGAGCUCCUGCUGCAUGGUGGGGGUUGGAAAGUUUCGGCGGUUGGGGAUGGACUCGCGGCUUAUCAGCUUGUUGGUGGGGUAGUGGCUUACCAAGGCUUUGACGGGUAGCCGGCCUGAGAGAGUGACCGGCCACAUUGGGACUGAGAUACGGCCCAGACUCCUACGGGAGGCAGCAGUGGGGAAUAUUGCACAAUGGGCGGAAGCCUGAUGCAGCAACGCCGCGUGCGGGAUGACGGCCUUCGGGUUGUAAACCGCUUUCGCCUGUGACGAAGCGUGAGUGACGGUAAUGGGUAAAGAAGCACCGGCUAACUACGUGCCAGCAGCCGCGGUGAUACGUAGGGUGCGAGCGUUGUCCGGAUUUAUUGGGCGUAAAGGGCUCGUAGGUGGUUGAUCGCGUCGGAAGUGUAAUCUUGGGGCUUAACCCUGAGCGUGCUUUCGAUACGGGUUGACUUGAGGAAGGUAGGGGAGAAUGGAAUUCCUGGUGGAGCGGUGGAAUGCGCAGAUAUCAGGAGGAACACCAGUGGCGAAGGCGGUUCUCUGGGCCUUUCCUGACGCUGAGGAGCGAAAGCGUGGGGAGCGAACAGGCUUAGAUACCCUGGUAGUCCACGCUGUAAACGGUGGGUACUAGGUGUGGGGUCCAUUCCACGGGUUCCGUGCCGUAGCUAGCGCUUUAAGUACCCCGCCUGGGGAGUACGGCCGCAAGGCUAAAACUCAAAGGAAUUGACGGGGCCCCGCACAAGCGGCGGAGCAUGCGGAUUAAUUCGAUGCAACGCGUAGAACCUUACCUGGGUUUGACAUGGAUCGGGAGCGCUCAGAGAUGGGUGUGCCUCUUUUGGGGUCGGUUCACAGGUGGUGCAUGGCUGUCGUCAGCUCGUGUCGUGAGAUGUUGGGUUAAGUCCCGCAACGAGCGCAACCCUUGUUCACUGUUGCCAGCACGUUAUGGUGGGGACUCAGUGGAGACCGCCAGGGUCAACUCGGAGGAAGGUGGGGAUGACGUCAAGUCAUCAUGCCCCUUAUGUCCAGGGCUUCACGCAUGCUACAAUGGCUGGUACAGAGAGUGGCGAGCCUGUGAGGGUGAGCGAAUCUCGGAAAGCCGGUCUCAGUUCGGAUUGGGGUCUGCAACUCGACCUCAUGAAGUCGGAGUCGCUAGUAAUCGCAGAUCAGCAACGCUGCGGUGAAUACGUUCCCGGG
rnacentral:rRNA from 1 species